GUCUAUGGCCAUACCACCCUGAACGCGCCCGAUCUCGUCUGAUCUCGGAAGCUAAGCAGGGUCGGGCCUGGUUAGUACUUGGAUGGGAGGCCGCCUGGGAAUACCGGGUGCUGUAGGCU
rnacentral:rRNA from 1 species